GCCCCAGUGGUGCAGUUGGUUGCACGAAUGCCCAGAGUGAGAGAUGCGGGCUCGAUCCCCGCCUGCAGCG